AGUAACUUCUCAGUUCUAGGAAAAUUUAUAGCUUUGGAGCUAGUUUGGGGAUAGAAGCAUUCAUUUCUCCAUCAGACUACCAGUCACUAGAACAAAGACAUGUUCCCCUGAUACCAUUGGUCCUUUCCCCCAUCUCACGCCCCCACCAGCCAAGAACACUCCCUAAGAAAUUUCUUUUCCUGUGCUCUUUUAUUCACCACAAGUGAAUUUUCAUCCCAAGACACACAAGAGCACACCAGGAAAUCUCCUGGUCCUGCAUUGCAACACGUGUAUGUGUCCACUUCCUUCCCCGAAUUUUAAAAUAAUCCCUUCCACCUUUAUUCCUCAUCUUUGACCAACAAAGUGAGAGACACAGCCAACUCCCUUCUCCACAGAGCAUGACUCAUGCCUUUCAUGGCUGGGAACUUACCCGGAACAGACACAGAAUGUGAUAGAUCUUACAGAUGAUUUUUUAUAAGUACAUGAGUGGUCUCCACACAAGUUAGGAAAGUUGCUGGAAAUCUGAGGAGGUUUUCAGGAUACCUGAAAGCCAGAGUCCACUUAGCCAUUGUUUGAAGAAAACAAUUUCAGGCAUUUCAAAGGAAGAGAUCUCUCAGACAACUGGCUGUUCCUGCUUCAAACCAGCUCCCAUCCUCCCCACCCACCACCCCAUCAGAGGGCCAUUAGAAUGCUGUUGGAAAUGGUGGUGGUUUUUCAGCAAAUACCAGGUUCUCCCACUUCAAAGAACAGUCAGCAGAGCGCAACUUUCCACUUAGAGUAGAAGCCUCCAUUCUUCAACCCUGGGAGAAACAACAGCAUUCUCUAUAACCCAAGUUGGGAAACUAGAAGCAAAUUGUCAAUGGACCUAGAACACCCAUCUUCCACUUCUUAGUCCUUCUCUGAACAAGGAGAAGAGUUGUAAUUACAGUUUUCAGACGUGAUAUGAAAACUUAGUCAGCAUGGAGACGCUGCUGUCAAGCUGGGCUGCCAUUUGAGCUCGAGAGGAAGGAAAUCCUUGGAAAGCUAAGCCACUGAAAUCUGGCAUGUGUUUUGCACUCACAGUACCUCUCAAUUUGGAGCAACCAAGUUUCAAUUGCUCACCAGUCACAUGUGACGAAUGGCUCCAUACUGAAGAGUUCAAUCUAGUAGCCCCUGCAGCUCCAGAUUGUAUUUUUAGAUGCAAGAAGAAAGAAGCAUAGUGGUUGAGAACUGCUUCUGGCACCCUAGGGUUAGAGGUGGUCGAGCUCUCUGUUUAUUAUGCUUUGUUUGUCUAAUUAUGAGAGAAGUGUAUGUCCAUUUCUAUAAAAAUCAACAAUGCAUAAUGUAAAAGUUUCUGUACAGCAAAGGAAACCCUAAACAAAACAAAAAGACAAUCCACAGAA